rnacentral:misc_RNA from 1 species
CCGGUUCUCCGACGAUUUUAUCCCUAUCUUACCCCUCCAUCGUCUCUUCUUAUCCCAAAAACACAAAAAAGGAAGUUUUUUUUUCUAUUUUUUGUUGGAAAGAGAGAGAAGGAUCUAGAAGCUUUGUGUUUUCGUGAUGGCGCAGAUUCAGGUGCAGCAUCAGGCGGCUCCAGUGCCGGGACCAAACGGAGUGGCGGCGGUCCCCGGCGGGAUUCCGUUCAUGCCGACGUCGCUUUAUGUUGGAGAUCUUGAACUUAAUGUGACCGACUCGCAGCUUUACGAUCU